rnacentral:rRNA from 1 species
GCUUAGAGAGGGGUCAAUGUCCUAUCAGCUAGUUGGUAGGGUAAUGGCCUACCAAGGCGAAGACGGGUAGCCGGCCUGAGAGGGUGGUCGGCCACACUGGGACUGAGACACUGCCCAGACUCCUACGGGAGGCUGCAGUCGAGAAUCUUUCGCAAUGCCCGAAAGGGUGACGAAGCGACGCCGCGUGUGGGAAGAAGGCCUUCGGGUUGUAAACCACUGUCGGGAGUUAAGAAAUGUAAGGGUGCUAAUAGUAUCCUUACUUGACUAAGGCUCCGGAGGAAGCCACGGCUAACUCUGUGCCAGCAGCCGCGGUAAUACAGAGGCGGCAAGCGUUGUUCGGAAUUAUUGGGCGUAAAGAGCACGUAGGCGGCCUUGUAAGUCAGUUGUGAAAGCCUUCUGCUUAACGGAAGAACAGCAUCUGAUACUGCAAGGUUAGAGUGCGGAAGGG